AUAAUCUUGUGGUUCAUAAGCAUGAUGAUUGCCUUUUCACACUCGUAUGAGAUGAACUUCGUUAUGAUGUUGGCACAUUCCCAUCUGAUG
ensembl:snoRNA